AGAAUUUGUCUGUGACAAGUCAUUGCAACGUUAACCGUCAACAUGUUCAAAUUGAUUGCUUUCUUCGCCAUCCUGGCCGUCGCCUUUGCUGUUCCUUCCCCAAACCCCAAGCCUGACCCCCUUUCUCUGAUUCAACCAGCAGCAUUGACAUAUUCCGCUUAUAGUCCCAUCUCCACCUAUUCGAAUUUGGGAUACAACUACCUUCCAUAUGCAUACAACUACAACUACUAUGGAUCACCAUUGGCGUACAGGAAUCUUUAUUACUAGGAGAAGAGUUGCUCAAAAGAACAUGGCCUGCAAAUUUUAGAUAUUUAAGCAAAUUUAUUUCUUUUGGCAGAAUAAAUGAUAAAUUGCUGUUAGGUCAUAUGAAUAAAAAACUUGAAACUUCC